UAAGGUUAAGUUAAUAAGGGCGCACGGUGGAUGCCUUGGCACUAGGAGCCGACGAAGGACGUGACAAACGACGAUAUGCCUUGGGUAGCUGUAAGUAAGCGAUGAUCCAGGGAUUUCCGAAUGGGGGAACCCAACAGGUAGUACCUGUUACCCACAUCUGUUAAGGAUGUGAGGAGGAAGACGCAGUGAACUGAAACAUCUAAGUAGCUGCAGGAAGAGAAAGCAAAAGCGAUUGCCUUAGUAGCGGCGAGCGAAACGGCAGGAGGGCAAACCGAAGAGUUUACUCUUCGGGGUUGUAGGACUGCAAUGUGGACUCAAAGAUUAUAGAAGAAUGAUUUGGGAAGAUCAGCCAAAGAGAGUAAUAGCCUCGUAUUUAAAAUAGUCUUUGUACCUAGCAGUAUCCUGAGUACGGCGGGACACGUGAAAUCCCGUCGGAAUCUGGGAGGACCAUCUCCCAACCCUAAAUACUCCCUAGUGACCGAUAGUGAACCAGUACCGUGAGGGAAAGGUGAAAAGCACCCCGGGAGGGGAGUGAAAUAGAACCUGAAACCGUGUGCCUACAACAAGUUCGAGCCCGUUAAUGGGUGAGAGCGUGCCUUUUGUAGAAUGAACCGGCGAGUUACGUUAUGAUGCGAGGUUAAGUUGAAGAGACGGAGCCGUAGGGAAACCGAGUCUGAAUAGGGCGCCUUAGUAUCAUGACGUAGACCCGAAACCAUGUGACCUACCCAUGAGCAGGUUGAAGGUGCGGUAAGACGCACUGGAGGACCGAACCAGGGCACGUUGAAAAGUGCUUGGAUGACUUGUGGGUAGCGGAGAAAUUCCAAACGAACUUGGAGAUAGCUGGUUCUCUCCGAAAUAGCUUUAGGGCUAGCGUCGACAUUAGAGAUUCUUGGAGGUAGAGCACUGUUUGGGUGAGGGGUCCAUCCCGGAUUACCAAUCUCAGAUAAACUCCGAAUGCCAAUGAAUUAUGGUCGGCAGUCAGACUGCGAGUGCUAAGAUCCGUAGUCGAAAGGGAAACAGCCCAGACCACCAGCUAAGGUCCCAAAAUAAUUGUUAAGUGGAAAAGGAUGUGGGGUUGCACAGACAACUAGGAUGUUAGCUUAGAAGCAGCUAUUCAUUCAAAGAGUGCGUAAUAGCUCACUAGUCGAGUGACCCUGCGCCGAAAAUGUACCGGGGCUAAAACAAUUUACCGAAGCUGUGGAUACCUUUAUAGGUAUGGUAGGAGAGCGUUCUAUGUGUGAUGAAGGUAUACCGUGAGGAGUGCUGGAACGCAUAGAAGUGAGAAUGCCGGUAUGAGUAGCGAAAGACAGGUGAGAAUCCUGUCCACCG
rnacentral:rRNA from 1 species